AACGAACGCUGGCGGCAGGCUUAACACAUGCAAGUCGAACGCAUCCUUCGGGGUGAGUGGCAGACGGGUGAGUAACGCGUGGGAACGUGCCCUUCAGUUCGGGAUAACCCAGGGAAACUUGGGCUAAUACCGGAUACGUGCGAGAGCAGAAAGAUUUAUCGCUGAAGGAUCGGCCCGCGUCUGAUUAGCUAGUUGGUGGGGUAAUGGCCCACCAAGGCGACGAUCAGUAGCUGGUCUGAGAGGAUGAUCAGCCACAUUGGGAAUGAGACACGGCCCAAACUACUACGGGAGGCAGCAGUGGGGAAUAUUGGACAAUGGGCGCAAGCCUGAUCCAGCCAUGCCGCGUGAGUGAUGAAGGCCUCAGGGUUGUAAAGCUCUUUCGUCCGGGACGAUAAUGACGGUACCGGAAGAAGGAGCCCCGGCUAACUUCGUGCCAGCAGCCGCCGCCG
rnacentral:rRNA from 1 species